ACGUAGGGUGCAAGCGUUAAUUGGAAUUACUGGGCGUAAAGCGUGCGCAGGCGGUGAUGUAAGACAGGUGUGAAAUCCCCGGGCUUAACCUGGGAACUGCAUUUGUGACUGCAUUGCUGGAGUGCGGCAGAGGGGGAUGGAAUUCCGAGUGUAGAGGUGAAAUUCGUAGAGAUCCGGAAGAACACCGGUGGCGAAGGCGGCCCGCUGGGCUGUGGCUGACGCUGAGGCGCGACAGCGUGGGGAGCAAACAGGA
rnacentral:rRNA from 1 species